GUCCUGAUUUGAACAGUUGGCUGUUAAAUCACAGAGAUGUUUCACUACAAGGCUGAACAGAUGGGCUGUUUCCAUCCUUAGAGCAAAAUUUGUCCCAAUGCCUUUACCUUGUGCUUGUGCCACCAGCACAGUGGCAUAGAGCUGCCACUCAAUGUCCCCCUCCUCAUCUGCCAACUGCAGGGACUUCUGCCCGUAAUUUUGGGCUUCUUCAGCUUGAUUCAGCUCCAUGUAACAUUGGCCGAUUUCGUGGAACAGCCAGGUCUUCUCCAGGCUGGAUUUUGCCAUCGGAAUCUUCUCCUCCCAACUUCAAGCAGAGUCAGACAGACAUUUACAACUCUCACAAGUGCAGUUAUAAUUUCAGCCACUAAUUCUACAGACAAAAGGCUUCCAGGUUCUGUUGGUAUGAAAACAUCACAGCCCCCUCGCCAGCAGUAUGAAUAAACAAACUGAAAAGCCAUUAUCUAUGAAUUCAAAAUAUAACCUUAUGCCUUUUCUAUUACUAAUUUUACAUACGUGUCAACAGCUUGCUGGAAUUUGCCCAUUCUGCCAUAAACUCUGCCGAUGUUAUCAAGGGCUCUGGAUAUGGCAUCCGGCAGGUUGCUGCAUUGAAAAGAAAAAGAAAUUAUAGUCACUGAAAUAGUCUUGUUCCUGGUACAACCUGUGUUUCUCCAGCCCUUGUGCUUUAUUUGGUGCCCACUAUGACUCCAGCCAGGACACCUACACAUAUCGAUGUCCUCCAUGCUCUUCAUGAUGUAUCUGCCAAUAUCAGCUGGUUUUUGCUUCUUGUCCCGGAUCCACUUUUGCUUCCGGAGCUUGCGCUCUUUCACACGGGCAUAAAUAGGCUUCUGCUGCUGCCAGAACUCACUCCGUGUGUCCAGGACGCCGUUCUGCGACCUGAGCCAGCAGUUAUGAAAGCUCCAUUGCAAGAGUCAACAGUUUCACUGGUCUUAUGCAACGUGAAUUGGAGGAAAGUCAGGAUCUCAGGACGGCCAGUCUCAGGUAACAAGGCAAAUUUCAUUACGAACUUUGAAUAUUAGGAUAAAGAUCUAAAAAUGGAUCCUGUAAUCAGCAGGGCUGUCUGUAGAUGAGCGGCUUUCUUCUGUAUCACCUAGAACGUUUUCAUGGUGACUUGGGAAAGUUAAGUCAGUGUCAUCAUCUACUUACAUAACUGCUGCUAUUAGACCCUGUGUAUAAACAGGCAUUCAGCCAAAAAAAAAAAAGAAAAAGAAGAAGAAAAGAACAGGGCUGUGCUCUUUUUGGUGCUUCCUGGUUUCAUCUGAGAACAGGCAUCGAGCACAUGCAUCUAGAAGCAAAGAGAAUCUGUUGUUGCAGGGUCCUUGGCUCCCUUGCAGAGGUAAUUUGCCACCAGCUGUCCCCAAACAGCUCCUGGCUGCGCAUGUGGGGGCCAUGAAAUGGAACA